GCGCUUGCUUCAGCAGUACCUAUACUAAAAUUGCAAUGAUACACAGAAGAUUGGCCGGGCCUCUGUGCAAGGAGGACAUGCAAAUUCGUGGAACAUUCCAUAUUUUU
rfam:Ailuropoda melanoleuca scaffold687_7, whole genome shotgun sequence.